GGCGUAGUUUACCUUGCAUUUACCAAGCCCCAUGUCGGGCCAACAACGGUGCUAGCGUGAAGACAAGAAAGAAAAAAAAAGCUGUUGAAAGAACAUUGUGUUCUGCAUGCUGAUUAUCGGGCAAGGGAAUCAACAACAACGGUAAUCCGUACCAAUUACAGAGUUCUUCGGUACCAUCCCCGCAGAUACGAAGCUUCCCAGAGCCGGCUUUCCAUGACGUAAAGUUUCCGCAGCAGAUUCCAUCUUGAUUCCUCACCCAAGAAAAGGAAGCGAAAGAAAAAGAAGAAAUCUCAGCGGGCCUGGUUUACUCUUUGAUGCCCAA
rnacentral:sRNA from 2 species